CCAUGAGGAAAGGAGCAUUAUCUACUGCUUGCCUUUUUCUGGAAUCUAACGAUCAAAGGCCGAUAUAAAGGGAAGGCUAACUCAUCUAUGGCAGACAGGCAGGCAGUCUCUCUCUCAGACCACCCCUUAUUACUCACUGUACAAGAGUUUGCCGGGGCUCGACCCUCUCCGGGGCAGCGGGGAGCCACACCGGCUCACUACACCCCGUUGAGCUUGGGGGGAUUCGUCCGGCUGUGGGGUCUCCCUCGGCAGCUCUUGCUGUAACCAGAAGAAAUACGGUGAAAGACUGAUCCCAGCCUAUAACACUAAGCCGCCAAGAAUGCACCCAGUUAUACAGCUGGUUCACUUCCAUCCAGCAUUUACAGUUUUGUAACAGGAAGCUGCUGCAUUGUGUGCUGUAUUUUUUCCUGUAUUUUAUGUGGCAUUAUUAAAGAAUGUAAGGGGAAAAAAGAAAGACGUGAGCUGCUAAGUCCGUAUCAAUCACUUUGUUA